rnacentral:rRNA from 1 species
GACGAACGCUGGCGGCGUGCUUAACACAUGCAAGUCGAACGGAAAGGCCCUGCUUUUGUGGGGUGCUCGAGUGGCGAACGGGUGAGUAACAUGUGAGUAACCUGCCCUUGACUUUGGGAUAACUUCAGGAAACUGGGGCUAAUACCGGAUAGGAGCUCCUGCUGCAUGGUGGGGGUUGGAAAGUUUCGGCGGUUGGGGAUGGACUCGCGGCUUAUCAGCUUGUUGGUGGGGUAGUGGCUUACCAAGGCUUUGACGGGUAGCCGGCCUGAGAGGGUGACCGGCCACAUGGGGACUGAGAUACGGCCCAGACUCCUACGGGAGGCAGCAGUGGGGAAUAUUGCACAAUGGGCGGAAGCCUGAUGCAGCAACGCCGCGUGCGGGAUGACGGCCUUCGGGUUGUAAACCGCUUUCGCCUGUGACGAAGCGUGAGUGACGGUAAUGGGUAAAGAAGCACCGGCUAACUACGUG